GUGGGCUUUCCCUUUAUGUAACAAGCUCAACAAGUUUUUGAACAAAAACACGUUCUGUGUGAACGCCCCUCACACUUCUCCAGUAGAUGGACAGAUGAACAUGGAGACAUUGACAGUGCUGUUGUUUAUUUGGGUGUUCACAGUGUCGAAGGCCUUUAAUAUUGAUAUAGAGAAUCCACUGAGCUUUACUGGGAAACAUGAAGAUUUCUUCGGUUACAGCGUUUAUCAGUACGAGUCUGAACAUGGAAAACAGAUCAUUGUUGGUGCCCG